GACACUGAGGUGCGAAAGCGUGGGUAGCAAACAGGAUUAGAUACCCUGGUAGUCCACGCCGUAAACGAUGUCAACUAGCCGUUGGGUCCCUUGAGGACUUAGUGGCGCAGCUAACGCAAUAAGUUGACCGCCUGGGGAGUACGGCCGCAAGGUUAAAACUCAAAUGAAUUGACGGGGGCCCGCACAAGCGGUGGAGCAUGUGGUUUAAUUCGAUGCAACGCGAAGAACCUUACCUACCCUUGACAUCCAGAGGACUUUCCAGAGAUGGAUUGGUGCCUUCGGGAACUCUGAGACAGGUGCUGCAUGGCUGUCGUCAGCUCGUGUUGUGAAAUGUUGGGUUAAGUCCCGUAACGAGCGCAACCCCUAUCCUUAUUUGCCAGCGAGUAAUGUCGGGAACUCUAAGGAGACUGCCGGUGACAAACCGGAGGAAGGUGGGGACGACGUCAAGUCAUCAUGGCCCUUACGGGUAGGGCUACACACGUGCUACAAUGGCAAGUACAAAGGGUUGCAAUACGGCGACGUGGAGCCAAUCCCAUAAAGCUUGCCUCAGUCCGGAUUGGAGUCUGCAACUCGACUCCAUGAAGUCGGAAUCGCUAGUAAUCGUGGAUCAGAAUGCCACGGUGAAUACGUUCCCGGGCCUUGUACACACCGCCCGUCACACCAUGGGAGUGGACUGCACCAGAAGUGGUUAGCC
rnacentral:rRNA from 1 species